rnacentral:rRNA from 1 species
AACGAACGCUGGCGGCAGGCCUAACACAUGCAAGUCGAACGCCGUAGCAAUACGGAGUGGCAGACGGGUGAGUAACACGUGGGAACGUACCCUUCGGUUCGGAAUAACUCAGGGAAACUUGAGCUAAUACCGGAUACGUCCGAGGGGAGAAAGAUUUAUCGCCGAGGGAGUCGGCCCGCGUCUGAUUAGCUUGUUGGUGAGGUAACGGCUCACCAAGGCGACGAUCAGUAGCUGGUCUGAGAGGAUGAUCAGCCACAUUGGGACUGAGACACGGCCCAAACUCCUACGGGAGGCAGCAGUGGGGAAGUAUUGGACAAUGGGCGCAAGCCUGAUCCAGCCAUGCCGCGUGAGUGAUGAAGGCCCUAGGGUUGUAAAGCUCUUUUACCCGGGAAGAUAAUGACUGUACCGGGAGAAUAAGCCCCGGCUAACUUCGUGCCAGCAGCCGCUGUAAG